rnacentral:rRNA from 1 species
AUUGAACGCUGGCGGCAGGCCUAACACAUGCAAGUCGAACGGUAGCACAGAGAGCUUGCUCUCGGGUGACGAGUGGCGGACGGGUGAGUAAUGUCUGGGAAACUGCCCGAUGGAGGGGGAUAACUACUGGAAACGGUAGCUAAUACCGCAUAACGUCGCAAGACCAAAGUGGGGGACCUUCGGGCCUCACACCAUCGGAUGCGCCCAGAUGGGAUUAGCUAGUAGGUGGGGUAAUGGCUCACCUAGGCGACGAUCCCUAGCUGGUCUGAGAGGAUGACCAGCCACACUGGAACUGAGACACGGUCCAGACUCCUACGGGAGGCAGCAGUGGGGAAUAUUGCACAAUGGGCGCAAGCCUGAUGCAGCCAUGCCGCGUGUAUGAAGAAGGCCUUCGGGUUGUAAAGUACUUUCAGCGGGGAGGAAGGCGGUGAAGUUAAUAGCUUCACCGAUUGACGUUACCCGCAGAAGAAGCACCGGCUAACUCCGUGCCAGCAGCCGCGGUAA